GAAGUUCGUAGCAGCAGAAGGGAAAGAAAGAGGGGUGGUGUCUGGGGUGAAUCAAUUUUUCAGCAGGUGGUUAAGGAGGUGGCUUAAUUUUUCCUCUAUGUCUCUCUUCGUCUCCCUUCUUCCGGCGGUGAAAAUAGUAACACCGCCGCUGUAACCGGUAGCCGCUAAAACCGGCGGCGACUAUGGUGGUGGUGGUUGUGAUGUUGACGGUAGUGUUAAGUGUUGGAGUUCUAACAAAACAAUACAGACAAAGAGGGAGGGGGGUUAUUUUCUCUUAUUUUUGUUUUAUUUAUUUCAAUCAAAAAAUUAAUAAAAUUAAUAAAAAAUCUGAAAAAGAAAAUAUCAAGGGUAAAAACGUCAUUAUAAAAAUGUUUAAACCAAAUUGGACUAAACUCGCAACAAAAUGAAAAUUUUGAAUAUCCGAUCGGUCCAAAUUUUUUGAACCAAAGUGACAAUUUUGAGCAACCUACGAGACAGUUUUGUCAAAGAUAAAAGAACAAGCUGAAACAAAACAUAUCCAAACGACGUCGCACGCCAUCCCUUAAUUAACAGUCCCCUAAAUCGAAAGGAAGAGAGCCCUUUUCUUUUCAUUUUGUUUAUGUUAAGUUUUCUGGAGCUACAACUCAAACACCCAUGAAAUUCGAUCGAUCCGUGAUAUUUCUCGACUUCUUGCUUUUUCGUUUUCACGAAAUAAGCAGUUGAACUCUCACUCUCUCAGGUACAGUUCGAUUUCCCUCUCUUCGUUUGCCUUCUGCUUGGCAUUAGAUUAAAACGGUGCUCCAUUCCCAGCUUCCGAAUGUGUGUAGUUGCUAUGUGUUUGGUGUUAGUAAAUAGUAAGUAUUUAGUGUUCAAGAUGAAAUCUGAGUGUUAAUCUGUCCUUAGCUUCUGUUAAUUUCAGGUUAAUCUUCUAUUCAUAUGAAGCAGUAGUAGAUGUACUUAUUAUAAUCUUGAGCACACAAAUUAUCCUUAGUAUUGGUGAGCACAUAUUCUAAUAAGCACAUAAGUUAGAAGUAUACAUAAGGAUCCAUAUUCUAAUAGUUGGGAACAAGGUUAUGGAUAAUAUUAAUAGAUACAUAUGCCAUGUUGUGGUUGAACAAUUUUUUUAUGCUUUUCCUAGAGUUGUUUUGGUAAGUAAGAUUGCAUUGGCAAUUUGCUCCAGUGUUUUCUGUUUUUUAGUUCCCUUAACUAUCAUCUGUGAAUUUGAGCUUGAAGGCUCUAUUAAUUUUGUUCAAGCACACAUUACCUUAUUUCUGUGAUAUAAUAGAAACUUGUUUUGCUAUAACUUGUUGUUAACCUUGAUGAAUAUUGUGAAAUUUGUGUUUUGAAUGUAAGGGUAAAAUGGUAAUUUAGUCUAAUGUUUCUGAAGUAACUAUAUAAUAUUUCAAAGGAACCAUAAUCUGUUAAGUAGUUUGAAACAUAGUUAAGGUUGGUUUAGGUUGAAACUGGUGAAGAUACUUAGAUAAAUCAAACACUUAGACAUACCCAACACUAAUAUAAGCCUAAAACUUAGGUAGGCUAAAAACAUAGAUAAGCCCAAAUGAUUAAAAGUAGGUCUUGUUUGCCCUAAAAGCUUCAAUCUUAUAAUGUAAGUUUACUUGUUCAUAUUUUUGCCACUAACUUGGAUUAACCCAAUUGUAAGUACUAGUAGUUGGUGUUAAUCUGUUAAUCUGAGAUUGAGCUUUUUGUUAACAAAUAAUUUAAAUUGUUAUUUCUUCAUUUUUCUUCUAUUAGGUUUUUCAUUUCAAGCGAAGAAAUGGCUGGUGCUGGAAGCAGUAGCAACAGG
rnacentral:lncRNA from 1 species